UUUUAUCUCCAAAACAUCAUACUUUAUUAAACUCGUUCGAAAAUGUUGGCUUCAUGAGCCAACCAUUCCGGAACUAAGUGGCUUACAUAGGAAAUGAAAUGAUUAAGUAUGUUAAGUAAUUUGAUUUC
rnacentral:sRNA from 1 species